UCUGGCUUCCAUAGGUGAGGGGAAACACCCGUUCCCAUUCCGAACACGCCGGUUAAGCCCUCAACCGCCGAUGGUAGUGCGGCCGCGAUGCCGUGUGAGAGUAGGUUGUUGCCAGGU
rnacentral:rRNA from 1 species